rnacentral:rRNA from 1 species
AAUUCAGUCGCACGGCUGGGCACCGGCAGUGGCGGACGGGUGAGUACGUAGUAUCUGUCCAUUGGUUGGGGAUAACCGUGGGAAACUACGGCUAAUACCGCAUGACACCUGAGUGGUCAAAGGCGCGAGUCGCCUGUGGAGGAGCCUGCGUCCGAUUAGCUAGUUGGUGGGGUAAAGGCCUACCAAGGCGACGAUCGGUAGCUGGUCUGAGAGGAUGAUCAGCCACACUGGGACUGAGACACGGCCCAGACUCCUACGGGAGGCAGCAGUGGGGAAUAUUGGACAAUGGGCGAAAGCCUGAUCCAGCAAUGCCGCGUGGGUGAAGAAGGUCUUCGGAUUGUAAAGCCCUUUCGGCGGGGACGAUGAUGACGGUACCCCGCAGAAUAAGCUCCGGCUAACUUCGUGCCAGCAGACGCGGUAAUACGAAGGGGGCUAGCGUAGCUCGGAAUGACUGGGCGUACAGGGCGCGUAGGCAGACGGAACAGUCAGGCGUGAAAUUCCAUGGGCUCAACCUGGGCGACUGCGGUCUGAGACGUGUAGUCUUGAGUAUGGAAGA